rnacentral:tRNA from 1 species
GGGCGAUUAGCUCAGCGGUUAGAGCGCUCGCUUCACACGCGAGAGGUCACAGGUUCGAUCCCCGUAUCGCCCA